AUCAUGUCAAUGGGCUAUGAACGAGA
rnacentral:piRNA from 1 species